rnacentral:rRNA from 1 species
UACAGAGGGUGCGAGCGUUGUCCGGAAUCACUGGGCGUAAAGGGCGCGUAGGUGGCGGCCCAAGUCCAUGGUGAAAGCUCGAUGCUCAACAUCGAGUCGGCCACGGAUACUGGGUUGCUCGAGCACUGUAGGGGCAGAUGGAAUUCCGGGUGUAGCGGUGGAAUGCGUAGAGAUCCGGAAGAACACCGGUGGCGAAGGCGGUCUGCUGGGCAGUUGCUGACACUGAGGCGCGACAGCGUGGGGAGCAA